AAAAAAAAAAAAAAAAAAAGUGGAAAGAGGGAGUAGCUCAGGAUCCUGAAGCUACAGAGUCCAGACAGCUGCGUUUGGCAGAUGCUAUCUUGACCAUCCUUCUGCACUCAGCUGGUCAAGGCCAUUUGUCUUUACCAACCAUGGCCAAUAAUCAUAGUUUAUUCUGUGUUCUAGUCCAGGUUCAAAGUCCUUGACAGGUAUGUGGGGGAGUGGAGAAAAAUCUUUAUGAAAUGUGACGAAGUUCAAUGAAAUAAAUGCAUCAGAUAUUCUGAGGAGGUUGCUAGUGUGAUGUUCCCUUCUUAGUAGUAUUUAGACUGAAGAUCACAAAGUAAUUGAAAAGGAGACUACUUUCUUUUAAGGGAGCAUGUUUUUCAGUUUUAGUACUGAGGAAAUAAUGCUCUAAUUUGUGUAAUGCUGGUUGGUCAGUGUUUCCUAGGGGAAUUCCAAACUGUCACUUCAAAACCAAGUGUUCUAUAAAUAUUAUUAGAGAAGAUAAUUAUAAUUUAAUUAUAAUUCCUUUUGGAAUUAAGGGGGGUACAAAUCAGUAAAAUGUAAAUUUUUCAGUUUUUUCUUUAAGAUUUAUUGUAAGACAUUUGUAUAGGAAAUGUGGAGAAUAAAAAGUUUGACAUUUAUAACCUCACCAACCAGCAUGGUUGCUAAUAUUUUGGGUGUGUUUUCUUGGGAGUGAUGUUUAAACAUAGUCAAGAUCUUGCUGUUUAAUGAAUGUGUAUCAUGCUUCUUUCACUUUAUCAUAAACAACCGUGUUCCUAGAAGCCAUUCACGAGGAUGGCUGAGAAUGGCUGCAGAAUAUUUCAUCAGAUCAAUAUAAGCAGGCCACCAAAUAAUGGUCUGCAUUGGGACUCUGUUGCUAGUGACAAGAAACCUAAGUCAAAGUUGUUUAAACAAAAAGAGUUCAUUGAUCUUAUAUUAUUCAGAACUUGGCUUUCAUUUCCUGGCUCCUCUUUCUGCCGUGUUAGUUUUCAUUGCAGCCAGCAAUCUUACCACCAAGAGGAUGUGUCCUUCCUAGCUGGGCCCUAGCCAUUCCCGAAUAAUCACUGUGUCUGGGAAUGGGGUGCCCUCUUUGGCCGAACUUGAGUAGUGUGGCUUCUCCUGGAGUUGCGGGUUCACUCAGCACCAUCAGAAUCACAGAGACUGGGAGAAUGUAGAAGGGGGACUCCUGCAAUGAAAAGAGUGCUUAUGCGAACUGAAGGAACACUGAGCAGGCAAAAACCAAAGGCUAUUAGCAUUUUCUCCAGUUUUUGCAUAUUUAGGUUACUUUCAGUUUUUUCCUCUUAGAAAAGUCUUACACAUAAAAUAUUUUCUACAUUUCUGUUUAUUUCCUUAGAUUCCCAGCAGUGGAAUUUCCAAGCCAAAAGCUUUUGGUACAUGUUAUAAAUUGCUUUUAAGAAUGUGUAUCAAUUAUAAUGUCCAGUGUUUGCUUUAAAACAUUCUAGCAAAGAAAAAAGUAUAGGGGAUUAGAUGAGGAGAAACUGGCAAAAUGGUAACAGUUGAAGCUAGGUGAGGUGCCUGGAGAUUCAUUUUGCUAUUAUUCUCUUUUGUGUAUGUCUGAAAAUUACAAAGAUUUCUAAAUUGAAUUGAAAAAAAAUAAAGAAUUGAGGAUCUAGAGAGGUUAAGUGACUUUCCCAAGCCCACCCAGUUCUGGUCUCCAGGCUUUAAAUCCUGGCCAUUUCUUCUACUCCACACUAAAUUGGCAUGUGGUCAUAUUGUCUGAGACACAGAUUAUGCCAGCGUAAGGCUUCCUGACUCUUCUUCACCCCGCAACACACCAAGGCAGGAAUGCAGAGCUAAUCUAUGUUUGUGGGUGGGGAGGGGGCAUGAGUAGUGGGUGCUAGGGAGCUAGAUAACAAGUUUGGCUUGGUGAUUCAGGAGUUCAAUAGAGAUUUCUUGAAAGGAUGUUUUCAGUAAAAUUUUGGAAAAUACAUAAUAAUGGGGGAGGGGAGAGAAUUUAUAUCAAUGAACAGCCCUGCAAGCAGUGUAUGAAAGUGCUUACUCUGCGAUGGGUUAAAAUAGUGUGUUAUUUUAAUUGGCAAUUCUUAAGGUUACUAAUAACAUUGAACAUUAAAAUUUAUUUUGGUUUAUUUUUCCUCAUUGAAAACUGUCAAUUUAUAUUCUUUGUCCACUUAUGUUUGGGGGAUCAUUUUAAAAAAUUGAUCUUGCUGAAUUCUGUAUAUUCAGUCUAUGAAAUCAUUUAGUUAGUAAAUUUGUUGCUAAUACUCAGUUUUCCUUUUAAGUUAUUUUGUUUAAAACCUAUAGAUUUUCCAUUUCUAUAGAAGAAAUUAACAUAAUAUUUUUCCCUUGACUUCUUUAAGUUUAAUUUCCUUUAAACUUGGUAUGUUUGUUUCCUUUGAGAAAUUUGAUAAAUGUCAAUUCAGAUUUUCAAAUUGUUAUGUUUAAUUUUUAUACUUUUUAAUCCUUUAGAAUGCAUUUUGUGUAUAAUAUUCUUCACUUUUUUGGAUGACAAACCCAAAUUAUGCUUAGCUUUUGUAGUCUAGAUGUGAACCCAAAUCUAAGCAUAGCUUUCUCAGAAGUGAGGAUGUAAGUGAGUUAGGGCCAUCGGCCUAGCCUGCUGGACAGUCUGUCUGAGAGACACUCUGUAUCCCUUAGCUUGAACUUGAGGGAUUGGAAUUGGCAAAGAAGCAUGGUUCUGAUAAUAUUCUCAUAACCUUUGGAGGUUGUCUAACACACACACACACACUCCUUAGCUAGAUUCUCAAGUCCCACCACAAUAAAACUUCAGCUGGCUCUCCCAACAUUAUCUGCCAUUCCUCAGUGUAUCCUAUGCCAUGACCAGCCAAUCUGAUCUGGUUAUACCCCAAACUUUUCCCUUUGGACUUUUCCACAUGCUCCUCCCUUAGCCAGGCAUCUCCUACCUCCUCAUCUCCCUCACUUUUCAGGAGUAGGUAGUCCUUUGAAGGCCGAGUCUGCAUCUGAUAUAUUUAUCACUGUAGCCCCAAAACACCAAGUGUCAAUAUUCCAUUACGUGGAGUAACCCCUCAAUGAAAUUUUAACAAACGUUUUGCUUACAGACUUUGUACUUUAGUGAAUAUAGUGGAAGAUGGAGGUUGGACCUCCAACUUGCUGUGUGACUUAGAAUGAAGUGAUUUGUUUCAGUGAAGGCACAUUUAAUCCCAAGCACUUGGCAAAUCUCAAGGAGACUUUGCUUGGCACCCCAGACAUCAGCCUCCAUUAAGGAAUGGCAUUCCACAUUACAGGCUUGGAUGGAGACAUCUGUCUUGUGGGCACGCUGAGCAACUCUGCCACAAACGUUCCAUGAGGAAGCAAGGGAUUUCGAACUGGAAGACAUCUUGUGGAGACCAUCUAGUUCAGCUUCUUCAUUGUAUAGCUGAGGACACCCAGGCCCAGAGAGGGGAAGUGAUUUGGUCAAAGUCACACAGCAAGUAAAGGACAAAGCUGAGAGCAGAUCCCAGGCAAGCUUCUUCCAUCUGGUGAAAAAGAUGAACACCAGGCGUGUCUGAUCUUCCCAGAGGAAGAAGGGAGCAUCUUUUUGAACAGCAUUUCUGUGAGAAAUGGGAUCCUAAGGUGGCCUCCAAGAUUGACACGCCAUGGUACAAUCUUCGUGAUCGUAAGAAGAACCUGUGAAUACGAUGAGCUAUCACUCCUGUGCUUUUGCGGUUUUAUGUGGCAAAGGGAGAGUGUUCUGGGUGGGCCUGACCUGAUCAGGCAUAUCCUCUAAAAUCAGAGUUUUCUCCAGCUGGUUCCAGAAGACUAAGUCAGAGAGAUGCUCUGUGUUUGGGCCAGAAGCAAGCAAACAUCCACAUUGUGAACUGCCUAUGGGGGCCACCUGGCAAGGAACUGCAGGUGUUUUCUGGGACCUGAGAGCAUUCCCUGGCCAAUCAUUAGCAGGAAAACAGGAACUCACUCCUAUAACUGAGAGGAAAUAAAAUUUACCAACAACCAAUGAGCCUGGAAGAAGACCCUGAGCCUCAAAUGAGAACUGCAGCCCCAGCCAACACUGAUUUCAGCCUUGUAAGUACCUGAGCAGAGAACUCAGCCAUGCUAUAUCAGGACUUCUGACCUACAUUACUGUAAGAUCAUAAAUGUGUUGUUUUAAGCCACUACAUUUGUGAUAGUUUGUUAUGCAGCAAUAGAAAGCUAAUACAACUUCCAAAAAUUCUA
rnacentral:lncRNA from 1 species